rnacentral:rRNA from 1 species
UCUCGGAGAGCUUGCUCGAAGAUGGUGAGAGUGGCGCACGGGUGCGUAACGCGUUAGCAACCUACCUCUAUCAGGGGGAUAGCCUCUCGAAAGAGANNUUAACACCGCAUAAUAUAUCUGACCGGCAUCGGUUAGUUAUUAAAUAUUUAUAGGAUAGAGAUGGGCUCGCGUGACAUUAGCUAGUUGGUAGGGUAACGGCUUACCAAGGCGACGAUGUCUAGGGGCUCUGAGAGGAGAAUCCCCCACACUGGUACUGAGACACGGACCAGACUCCUACGGGAGGCAGCAGUAAGGAAUAUUGGUCAAUGGGCGGAAGCCUGAACCAGCCAUGCCGCGUGCAGGAUGACUGCCCUAUGGGUUGUAAACUGCUUUUGUCCAGGAAUAAACCUAGAUACGUGUAUCUAGCUGAAUGUACUGGAAGAAUAAGGAUCGGCUAACUCCGUGCCAGCAGCCGCGGUAAUACGGAGGAUCCGAGCGUUAUCCGGAUUUAUUGGGUUUAAAGGGUGCGUAGGCGGCCUAUUAAGUCAGGGGUGAAAUACGGUGGCUCAACCAUCGCAGUGCCUUUGAUACUGAUGGGCUUGAAUCCAUUUGAAGUGGGCGGAAUAAGACAAGUAGCGGUGAAAUGCAUAGAUAUGUCUUAGAACUCCGAUUGCGAAGGCAGCUCACUAAGCUGGUAUUGACGCUGAUGCACGAAAGCGUGGGGAUCGAACAGGAUUAGAUACCCUGGUAGUCCACGCCCUAAACGAUGAUAACUCGAUGUUGGCGAUAGACAGCCAGCGUCCCAGCGAAAGCGUUAAGUUAUCCACCUGGGGAGUACGCCCGCAAGGGUGAAACUCAAAGGAAUUGACGGGGGCCCGCACAAGCGGANGAGCAUGUGGUUUAAUUCGAUGAUACGCGAGGAACCUUACCCGGGCUUGAAAGUUAGUGAA